rnacentral:tRNA from 1 species
GGUCCCAUCGUCUAGAGGCCUAGGACACUGCCCUCUCACGGCAGCGACACGGGUUCGACUCCCGUUGGGACUACCA